rnacentral:rRNA from 1 species
UACGUAGGGGGCUAGCGUUGUCCGGAUUUAUUGGGCGUAAAGAGCGUGUAGGCGGCCAGGUAGGUCUGCUGUGAAAACUCGAGGCUCAACCUCGAGACGUCGGCGGAAACCAUCUGGCUAGAGUCCGGAAGAGGAGAGUGGAAUUCCUGGUGUAGCGGUGAAAUGCGCAGAUAUCAGGAAGAACACCCGUGGCGAAGGCGGCUCUCUGGGACGGUACUGACGCUGAGACGCGAAGCGUGGGGAGCGAACAGG